rnacentral:rRNA from 1 species
AAGCGGCAGAGCUCAAUUUGAAAGCUGGCUCCUUCGGGGACCGCAUUGUAAUUUGCAGAGGAUGCUUCGGGUGCGGCCCCUGUCUAAGUGCCCUGGAACGGGCCGUCAGAGAGGGUGAGAAUCCCGUCUGGGAUGGGGUGUCCGCGCCCGUGUGAAGCUCCUUCGACGAGUCGAGUUGUUUGGGAAUGCAGCUCUAAAUGGGUGGUAAAUUUCAUCUAAAGCUAAAUAUUGGCCGGAGACCGAUAGCGCACAAGUAGAGUGAUCGAAAGAUGAAAAGCACUUUGAAAAGAGAGUUAAACAGCACGUGAAAUUGUUGAAAGGGAAGCGCUUGCGACCAGACUCGCCCGCGGGGUUCAGCCGGCAUUCGUGCCGGUGUACUUCCCCGUGGGCGGGCCAGCGUCGGUUUGGGCGGCCGGUCAGCGGCUCCCGGAAUGUAGCGCCUCUCGGGGCGCCUUAAGCCGGGGGUGCAGUGCGGCCAGCCUGGACCGAGGAACGCGCUUCGGCACGGACGCUGGCAUAAUGGUCGUAAACGACCCGUCUUGAAACCACGGACCAA